UACGUAGGGAGCAAGCGUUGUCCGGAAUCAUUGGGCGUAAAGCGCGCGUAGGUGGCCCCAUAAGUCCGCUGUGAAAGUCAAAGGCUCAACCUUUGAAAGCCGGUGGAUACUGUGGGACUAGAGUACGGAAGAGGCGAGUGGAAUUCCUGGUGUAGCGGUGGAAUGCGCAGAUAUCAGGAGGAACACCAACGGCGAAGGCAGCUCGCUGGGACGGUACUGACACUGAGGCGCGAAAGCGUGGGGAGCGAACAGG
rnacentral:rRNA from 1 species